AAAUAGCACACUCCACCCCCUGCCAAUGCUGCUUUUGCUGGUAUUAAGACAUGCCAAAUUCUGAAAAGAUCCAAAAUGAUCUCCUCUGGUCUGUGGCUACACUGGUAACGACAGGGUCAGGAUUUCAGCAGCAGGAUGACUGUACCAAUGGUAGCUCUGGUAGGAAUAUAAAUAGAAUAGCUUGGAGGCAGUUCUUUUUGCAUUUGUGCUUAGCCCUGUUCUAAGUUAUGCUGGUGAGUGACGUCAAUGAAAUAUACUCUCUGUAUUCACCCUAUAGCUCCUACCAGUACUGUGGUGGAGCUCCCACAUGACAGUCUGCUGGUCUUGUGUGGCAGAAUGCUGUGUCUGUGUUGCACAGUCCUUCAUCAUCCCCAAGGGGAAACGUGUGUGCAUCAGCUCCAACCAUUUCUUCCGUCAGCGGCUUCUCCUUUCCUGUUUACAUUUACACUGCACACAGACUGAUUCAGCUAAAAUGGUCUUCUAACCCCAUAGAACAUACCCUGAAUUUCAUGCACAUCAUAAAAAGAGUUGGCAGCUGGGAAGCUGAAGGAAUAUGGGUUUUUUUAGGUGAGAGCAGUGGGAUACUGGAAUGCUGAGGCAGCUGGAUCAGGUUUCAUGGCUUGGUGAGUUUUUAUGGCUUUCAGUGACUCCAGUUUCCAAGUGUGACUAUGUAUUCGAAAAAGCUUUGUGGCCCUGUUGUAAGCUCUGAGCUCCUCUUAACAGAGUUUUCUUGUGAAUGGGUGUAUGUAUGGAUCUACAUAUACACACCCACUUGCCCAAAUGACUAAUAGCAGGUGUUGGAGGGAGAACACAGCCUCUAGCUUACAUAAAUCAAAGCACAAGGAAACUUACUCCAAGGAAGCUGAAGCAGAGAGAUCAAGAGAAGCAUUUAAAAAUCCUUCUCACCUUUUGUGAAAGGUCUUGGAAACACCUGCACUAGACAUUUUUAAAAACUGGACUUAUCAGAGAAGGUAGAAGACACUUUCAUGUCAGGUCACUGUAUGAGUGUACGAGGGUGACAAUACACAAAGGGUGCUGCUUUGACAGCUACCAAGAUUGUACUGCUUUAGAUGCCCUUAAGGAAAUCAAAGUCCAACAGCAAACACACUGUCUUUUCAUAGGAUGGAGAAAGGGAUAGGGAAAACCAAUUGUUGAUAAGGUCCUUCAUUCUUUGUUCUGAUUAAAGUCCCACCAAGUCUGCAGAGGUUGUCUGGGAAAUGGGGAAAAAAAGGAUCACAGGGAAUGAGAUACUCAUGAUGCAGAACAGCCAUCACCUUGAUGUGAAAUGAACGUGGAGGAAGGAGUCAAACACAAGUAAAAGAAAUGUGCCUGUCUAUCACAUAUCAAUUCUAAAGGCCAUGCCUAAUUUUUAAGUAUCUCUUAAUUAGUAGAAUUAAAAUGUUAGAAAGUCACUCAGUUUUCUUGUGGGCUUACCCUGAAGGCAAGUCAGCACCAGAGAAAGGUUAAGAAAAUAUCCUUGGGCAUGUGAGAAUGGUCCUAUGUAAUUCAACAAGCUUCUCCUCCUCUUUUCUGUUGCAUCCACCCAGAGCCUUGGGUUCUAGCACAUAAUCUUACUUUCCACAUGAAAACUAGAAGGUGGUUUGUUCUAGGUGACAGCUUGGGUGGUCCAUAAUGAACCGAGGUUUGGUUUUGUAUUGUGAGGAAAACAUUCCCACCUCACAAAUAAGCCAGGGCUUUGCUCCCGCUGUGGGCCGCAGGGCAGCCCUGGCGCCCCGGCCUGGCGGCCGCCGCUGUGCCGAGCUGGCCGGCACACAGACACUAGGUGGAAGCCUUGGGUUGCAGUUCCACUGCAGCUGCUGACGGCACGAAGAAAAGGACUUGGGCUUUCAGCAAGGAGAGCUUUUUCUUUUCUUCCUGCCUUGACAUGCUAGAAAGGGAAGUCCAAGCUCUUCUGAUGCGCCAUGGGGUGAGCAGAGGAAUGGAGGAGAAGUGUCAGUCCCAUGCCGGGUCCUCCCUGCAACAGGAUCUUUGCAACGGCUUCAAGAGCUUCAUGGCUGUUCUGCAGACAGAUGCACAAUUGUGAAACAUCAAUAUGGACUGCAAAUCUCUACUGUCAGUCAGCUCCUCUUCCCCUCUGCAUAACGUAAUCCCUAUCUCCACAAUGCCUGCACAGAUACACAUUUGCAAAGAUGUUUUUCUGGAGAUAGCGUGCAUAGCAAAGACUCCCUUACUUGUUCUCAUCUCCAGCAACAUUAUACAGAGUUUCAGUUCACAGUUCCCUGUGUUCCCCCUCCUACCACUGAAAUGCAGCCAACUCCGAGCUGCGGCUAUUAAACAUCACACAAGCAACACCACAAAACAGAUUGUGGAAAGCACAGGAAUUCACAGAAAAGCAACAAAUUGACAGAGGUCUGGGAAGUGAUAACAAAGGAUCAGAGGGAAUGAAUUACUCACGAUGCAGAAUAGCCAUCAGCUUAGCGUACUGGUGAUACCAGGAUGCAAGGGCAGGUUUUUGAGGGUGGCACAAGGAGAUGUCACUAGGAGCAGUCAGGUUUCAGCAUGGGAGAUGAGCAGGUCAGCUUCCUUAACCACUGAGUUUUGUCAGUCUUUCAGAGUCCCAUGGAAAGGGCUGAAGGCAUCAUUGCUUGGGGGUUUUAGAACUGGUCAGUUUCAAGACAGGUCAAGGCACUUUCAGGGCAGAUGAAUAAAACAAGAUGGAGCAAGUACUGUAUCUAUUCCCACUUUGUAUGAGUCUGAGAAAACAGUUGGGAGAAAGAUAAAAAGGUCUGAAGGAAUCACAUGUACAAAGUUAUAAAACUGUGUGAACUGGUGUGAUAAUAGCUGUGACAUGGCCAGGGAAAAGCUUCCGAAGACAGUACUCUUCUUUGACAAGAAGUUCAUUUUCAUGAUGAUCUUAAGGUGAGAAAGGAGGGAAAAGGGAAAGAUCUGCAAUGAAUCAGAGGAAAGAGAAAUGUGUGUGAAGCUAUGUAGCCAUUUAUGCGAGUGUGUAGCACAACAGGAAUCUCAUUCAGGUUGGAAAAAGCAUUGCAAGUGUCUGCAUAUCAGUUUGCUUACACUAGUGGCUUGAAGAGGGCACCUUGGCACAAAAGCUGCACGUGAAUUCUUGCUGCUUUAGGUAAAGUGAUGAGUGGGGAAUGUUGCCAGACACUGUCAGUGAGCAUUCAAUGGACAACUAAGAAGCAACUGCAAAAGUCUGUUCCCAACUCAAGUUGCAUAGCAACACUAAAUCGUCAGAUUGCCAUUAUGUCAGUCCCUUACAUUAUCCCCAUUAUUGCAGCUGGUUUUAGGAACCACCCAGUAUGAUGUUAUUGGCCCACUUCACAGCUGGAUGUGUGACCUUUGCCUCUUGCUGAAUGAUGCCAUGUAAUUUGCUGCAAAGGUGUCUCAAAGUAGUACACAGAGAGAAAAACCUUUGAUCAUCCAUUAACACAGACUGUACGAAGCAAAGGAUGUGCCUGUGUGGCAUGGGGCAGGAAAAACAGAUCAGGGUGCAUCAAUGUCCUUAAAGAAGUCUAGUGUCUGCCAAAUUUGUCAGGAUGUGUGUUACUCCAUCAUUUGUCUGAACUGAGUAUUCACUGAUCCAGUUGAGAGCCUGCAUUAAGGGGUGAGCCACAGUUGCUCAUGUGUUUCGAAUGCUGCCAGUGCAUGCUUGUGCUUGGUGUUUGGAUCUCUCCUGAGGACCAUUGCUGCUGUGCAAUUCGAACUUCCAGCCAGCUGUUUACUGCUUUUCAGUGUAAGCACCUUGUGAGCUGUUUCCUGGUGGAGAUGCUGAAGAACUGAAGUAGUCACAACAUCAUCAUCCUGUGAUGUUUCAGAAACUGCCAGUCUCUGAAAAAAUACCUGGAAGUCUGCUUCUCUUGCAGGAUGUUUCUAGUAACCUGCAUAAUGUCUUUCCUGGAUGUCUUGUGUAGCACAGCAUCCUCCUCCCUUUUUCAUUCUAUUGCUGCUUCUUUUGCUAGCACAAGAUCCUGACAUGCCCCUGUCAUCUCUUUGCAGCCAAGGCAAGCAGGGUCGCUGGGUACCAAGGUGUGGCUGGAGUUUUAAGGAUGCAAAUAAAAUGAAUGAACUCCUUUACUGCAAACAUCAGAGUGACAUGGAUUUAGGACACCAGGUGGAAUGAAAAUUACUUUGCAGGCCUUUUGCACUGGAUGAUGGGGAGAGUGACCUGAUAAGCAAGUAAUUCUCAGUGAUAUAUCUCCUUUCUGAAGAGUGCCUGGUUGUAAACUAUGCCAGCUUUUUCAAGAUCACCACUGCAAAUUAUGAACCAGCAAACAGAUCUCAGAAAGAAAAGACAGUCUGCCUGCUCCCUCUCUGUAUAGAGUAAUGGAAUUAUUCUGCUUCAUUAAAACAACUGAUGAGAAAACAAAGAGCCUCAAGAUUCAGUUCCUCUGUUUCUGUGCCCGGAAUGCAAAGCACACAAAUGACACAACACCUGGACUAGGACCUACAAGUCACUCUUGCUUGAUAUCAAGGAGACUGAGCUUGGACAAAGUCUAGCACAGCAGAUGAUAAACAUCCAUGUAUGACAUUGCUAAAAGAGAUCUGAUAACUAUGGAGUUACCCUUAACAAAGGAACAUCUCUUUAAUGCAAAAUAGCUUAGCAGUUCUUACAAUAAAGGAACAAAAGCUGUUUGUCUGA